ACUCCUACGGGAGGCAGCAGUGGGGAAUAUUGCACAAUGGGCGCAAGCCUGAUGCAGCCAUGCCGCGUGUAUGAAGAAGGCCUUCGGGUUGUAAAGUACUUUCAGCAGUGAGGAAGGUGGAUAUGUUAAUAGCAUAUUCAUUUGACGUUAGCUGCAGAAGAAGCACCGGCUAACUCCGUGCCAGCAGCCGCGGUAAUACGGAGGGUGCGAGCGUUAAUCGGAAUUACUGGGCGUAAAGCGCAUGCAGGUGGUUUGUUAAGUCAGAUGUGAAAGCCCGGGGCUCAACCUCGGAAUUGCAUUUGAAACUGGCAAACUAGAGUACUGUAGAGGGGGGUAGAAUUUCAGGUGUAGCGGUGAAAUGCGUAGAGAUCUGAAGGAUACCGGUGGCGAAGGCGGCCCCCUGGACAGAUACUGACACUCAGAUGCGAAAGCGUGGGGAGCAAACAGGAUUAGAUACCCUGGUAGCUCUGC
rnacentral:rRNA from 1 species